rnacentral:tRNA from 1 species
UGGGGAUAUUGUUCAGUGGUAGAAUAAAUAUUUGCCUAGCAUGCAUGAGGCCCUGGGUUCAAUCCCCAGUUCUGUAG